UAACCUGUGUAUUGACCGUAUUUCGUAGUCCGUGUUGUUAACUCUACUAUGUGUGUAGUUGUUUGUCAUUCAGUGAAAUAACGCUUUGAAUGUAACAUGGUAUUGUUAUUAAUAAGCACAACAGCCACAUUAACUGAUGACCUUUACAUCACUUGCUCAAUUAAUAACAAGUGACUAAACAGCCACGAAGAAUCCUAAGUGGGACUUAGUGUGCAAUGAAGAAUCUUUCUCGGACAUUUCCCAGACAGUCUUAGUUGUUGGCGAGAUGUUUGGCUGUCUAUUUCUAACACGCUUUGCAGACAGGUACGGUAGGAAGGUCUCUUUCAUCGUUACGAGUCUGCUGUUCCUUGCUGCCAACAUGACAUGUGCAGUCUCUCCAAAUUUUAUCUUUUACCUUGUAUUCAGAUUUAUCACUGGACUUUCCGUUGCAGUUGAGUUUUUGUGUUAUA
rnacentral:sRNA from 1 species